GCCGCGUUACGUGGCAAGCUGCCUUGCGGGCGACGGUUACGUGCUUGCGUGGGGUUGGCGCGGAGCCCAGAAACUGUAGCUCUGCUCUGCAUGCUGUUACCGGAAUUAGCUUGUGUGGAGUGUUAGGCAAUAUGAAUUUGUACUAUAAAGUGGUAAGGACACCACAUGUUGUUGUAAAAAAGAAUGUGAAUCUCAAGAUGGAUUGGCACAGUUGGAGUGUGUGCUCUGAGAUGAACUGACAUCUUUUUGGAGGUUGGACAAAACAAGUGUGUGUGCCACUGCUGAUGACAACAUAGAACAUGGCUACACUGUAUAAAUGGGAAGAGGAAAGGUAGCACAUGGGAACAUGGGAAAAAAUAACUGGUCACGGCAUCAGACUCUGAGUAAUUCAAAAUCUAAGUGCAUACAGGAAUUACAAAGUAUCACCUCAAAUUUCUGCAUGUAUUGAAAAUGAAUUGAUGAAUAUGAAAUGAAGAACGGUGUCUGAGAGUCCAUCUCCUUAUCAAGCCAGCAGAGCAAUAUGCUGUGAGCAAUAAUAUCAAAAGCAGCUCCUAAGGCUUAUCAGGGCUUGUCAACUUGCAAUUCCAUCCUGAGUUGAGGGUUGGCAAUGCCUCCUCUCCUUCCCUCUGCAACUCUGGAGAAGUGUAGGCUGAUGAUGUAUGACGUUACUUCUGUUUUUGGAUGCCUGAGCCCACCCCUUACGCCUCAUUGGUGUAAUAACCAGCAACAGCACUAUCCUUCCCCAAUCUGGUCGGAGACUCCCAUUUGAAAAGAUGUCUAUUUGUGAAAAUUUUUUUUUGUUUGUUCAGUAUUCACAAUAUAGAUGGAGAUCACCAUUUGCUACCCCAACCCUUUACCUUUAUUUGCCUGUUAUUAUUGCAUUAUGUUACUUUUAUGAAAUAACAGGCAGUCAAUCAUGAAAUAUGUUGAUAUUAUUUGGUUGUAAGUUAAUAAACCAGUAUUGUAAUUAAAUAAUUUUAUAAAGUAAGUUUCUGCUUCAUGCAUCAAUAGCAUACUUUAUUAUUUCUUACUAAUCAUUCAUACUUGUACUCUGAUUUACCCAGGAUAAAAUGUAUAUUUAGUUUUGAUGUAUAGUUCUGGAAGUUGAGUACAUAUAAGCGUAUGUGCAAAAUAACGUGUUUGUUAACCCUAGAGAGUUCAUAAGAGACCAUACCUCAAUUAAAUUGGUUUUACAUUGGCAGUGGAUAUCAAUACAGUGUCUACACUCAAAAUUGAAAAAGAUAGUUACAGAAGAAUAGCAUUUACUUUUUAUAGCACCUUUCUUUAAUCAACAGCAUACAUAGGUCAUUGUCAGAUACAGAUAAACAAAAUGAUUGUGUACAUUCAUAAAUAGCAUAAACAUACACUGAAAAAGUAAAUUCAAGACUAAAAGUGAAGUGGAACAUUUAUAUAUUGGAAUGCUUUUAAUAUUAGUGUUUUAUUCAUAUUUAUGAGUGUGCUAACACAUUUCAGGAAAUGUGAAACCACAAGUUUCAAUGUAAAUGGCAGACUGGUACUAAGGACUUUACAAACUACAAAAAAGGCAGUUGUACUAGAAUAACCUACUACUAUAAAAUGCAAGCUUUGUAAGAUAUAUUUUUAACUGUGUUGUGGCUGUUAUUAAAAUUA